UAAGGAAUAUUGGACAAUGGAGGCAACUCUGAUCCAGCCAUGCCGCGUGAAGGAAUAAGGCCCUAUGGGUUGUAAACUUCUUUUAGACGGAACAAAACCCCUUUACGUGUAAAGGGUUGAUGGUACUGUCAGAAUAAGCAUCGGCUACCUUCAUGCCAGCAGCCGCGGUAAUACGAAGGAUGCAAGCGUUAUCCGGAAUUAUUGGGUUUCAAGGGUGCGUAGGCGGACUAAUAAGUCAGUGGUGAAAGCCUGCAGCUUAACUGCAGAAUUGCCAUUGAUACUGUUAGUCUUGAGUACAGUUGAGGUAGGCGGAAUAUGUCAUGUAGCGGUGAAAUGCUUAGAAAUGACACAGAACACCGAUUGCGAAGGCAGCUUGCUAAGCUGUAACUGACGCUGAGGCACGAAAGCGUGGGGAGCAAACA
rnacentral:rRNA from 1 species